GACGAACGCUGGCGGCGUGCCUAAUACAUGCAAGUCGAGCGAAGUUUUUCUGGUGCUUGCACCGGAAAAACUUAGCGGCGAACGGGUGAGUAACACGUAAAGAACCUGCCUUAUAGACUGGGACAACUAUUGGAAACGAUAGCUAAUACCGGAUAACAGCAUUAACUGCAUGGUUGAUGUUUGAAAGUUGGUUUUGCUAACACUAUGAGAUGGCUUUGCGGUGCAUUAGCUAGUUGGUGGGGUAAAGGUCUACCAAGGCGACGAUGCAUAGCCGACCUGAGAGGGUGAUCGGCCACACUGGGACUGAGACACGGCCCAGACUCCUACGGGAGGCAGCAGUAGGGAAUCUUCCGCAAUGGGCGAAAGCCUGACGGAGCAACGCCGCGUGAGUGAAGAAGGAUUUCGGUUCGUAAAGCUCUGUUGUUAGGGAAGAAUGAUUGUGUAGUAACUAUACACAGUAGAGACGGUACCUAACCAGAAAGCCACGGCUAACUACGUG
rnacentral:rRNA from 1 species